GGUUAAGCGACUAAGCGUACACGGUGGAUGCCCUGGCAGUCAGAGGCGAUGAAGGACGUGCUAAUCUGCGAAAAGCGCCGGCGAGGUGAUAUGAACCUUUGACCCGGCGAUGUCCGAAUGGGGAAACCCAGUGUGUUCCGACACACUAUCGUUAACUGAAUACAUAGGUUAACGAGGCGAACCGGGGGAACUGAAACAUCUAAGUACCCCGAGGAAAAGAAAUCAACCGAGAUUCCCCCAGUAGCGGCGAGCGAACGGGGAGCAGCCCAGAGUCUGAAUCAGUUUGUGUGUUAGUGGAAGCGUCUGGAAAGUCGCACGGUACAGGGUGACAGUCCCGUACACGAAAGCACACAGGCUGUGAACUCGAAGAGUAGGGCGGGACACGUGGUAUCCUGUCUGAAUAUGGGGGGACCAUCCUCCAAGGCUAAAUACUCCUGACUGACCGAUAGUGAACCAGUACCGUGAGGGAAAGGCGAAAAGAACCCCGGCGAGGGGAGUGAAAAAGAACCUGAAACCGUGUACGUACAAGCAGUGGGAGCCUCUUUUAUGGGGUGACUGCGUACCUUUUGUAUAAUGGGUCAGCGACUUAUAUUCUGUAGCAAGGUUAACCGUAUAGGGGAGCCGAAGGGAAACCGAGUCUUAACUGGGCGUUAAGUUGCAGGGUAUAGACCCGAAACCCGGUGAUCUAGCCAUGGGCAGGUUGAAGGUUGGGUAACACUAACUGGAGGACCGAACCGACUAAUGUUGAAAAAUUAGCGGAUGACUUGUGGCUGGGGGUGAAAGGCCAAUCAAACCGGGAGAUAGCUGGUUCUCCCCGAAAGCUAUUUAGGUAGCGCCUCGUGAAUUCAUCUUCGGGGGUAGAGCACUGUUUCGGCUAGGGGGCCAUCCCGGCUUACCAACCCGAUGCAAACUACGAAUACCGAAGAAUGUUAUCACGGGAGACACACGGCGGGUGCUAACGUCCGUCGUGAAGAGGGAAACAACCCAGACCGCCAGCUAAGGUCCCAAAGUCAUGGUUAAGUGGGAAACGAUGUGGGAAGGCACAGACAGCCAGGAUGUUGGCUUAGAAGCAGCCAUCAUUUAAAGAAAGCGUAAUAGCUCACUGGUCGAGUCGGCCUGCGCGGAAGAUGUAACGGGGCUAAACCAUGCACCGAAGCUGCGGCAGCGACACUAUGUGUUGUUGGGUAGGGGAGCGUUCUGUAAGCCGUUGAAGGUGUCCUGUGAGGGGUGCUGGAGGUAUCAGAAGUGCGAAUGCUGACAUAAGUAACGAUAAAGCGGGUGAAAAGCCCGCUCGCCGGAAGACCAAGGGUUCCUGUCCAACGUUAAUCGGGGCAGGGUGAGUCGACCCCUAAGGCGAGGCCGAAAGGCGUAGUCGAUGGGAAACAGGUUAAUAUUCCUGUACUUGGUGUUACUGCGAAGGGGGACGGAGAAGGCUAUGUUAGCCGGGCGACGGUUGUCCCGGUUUAAGCAUGUAGGCGGAGGUUCCAGGUAAAUCCGGUUCCUUAUUAACGCUGAGGUGUGAUGACGAGGCACUACGGUGCUGAAGUAACAAAUGCCCUGCUUCCAGGAAAAGCCUCUAAGCAUCAGGUAACAUCAAAUCGUACCCCAAACCGACACAGGUGGUCAGGUAGAGAAUACCAAGGCGCUUGAGAGAACUCGGGUGAAGGAACUAGGCAAAAUGGUGCCGUAACUUCGGGAGAAGGCACGCUGAUAUGUAGGUGAAGCCCCUGCGGGUGGAGCUGAAAUCAGUCGAAGAUACCAGCUGGCUGCAACUGUUUAUUAAAAACACAGCACUGUGCAAACACGAAAGUGGACGUAUACGGUGUGACGCCUGCCCGGUGCCGGAAGGUUAAUUGAUGGGGUUAGCGGUAACGCGAAGCUCUUGAUCGAAGCCCCGGUAAACGGCGGCCGUAACUAUAACGGUCCUAAGGUAGCGAAAUUCCUUGUCGGGUAAGUUCCGACCUGCACGAAUGGCGUAAUGAUGGCCAGGCUGUCUCCACCCGAGACUCAGUGAAAUUGAACUCGCUGUGAAGAUGCAGUGUACCCGCGGCAAGACGGAAAGACCCCGUGAACCUUUACUAUAGCUUGACACUGAACACUGGUCCUUGAUGUGUAGGAUAGGUGGGAGGCUUUGAAGCGUGGACGCCAGUCUGCGUGGAGCCAACCUUGAAAUACCACCCUUUAAUGGCUGGUGUUCUAACGUAGACCCGUGAUCCGGGUUGCGGACAGUGUCUGGUGGGUAGUUUGACUGGGGCGGUCUCCUCCCAAAGAGUAACGGAGGAGCACGAAGGUUAGCUAAUCCUGGUCGGACAUCAGGAGGUUAGUGCAAUGGCAUAAGCUAGCUUGACUGCGAGAGUGACGGCUCGAGCAGGUGCGAAAGCAGGUCAUAGUGAUCCGGUGGUUCUGAAUGGAAGGGCCAUCGCUCAACGGAUAAAAGGUACUCCGGGGAUAACAGGCUGAUACCGCCCAAGAGUUCAUAUCGACGGCGGUGUUUGGCACCUCGAUGUCGGCUCAUCACAUCCUGGGGCUGAAGUAGGUCCCAAGGGUAUGGCUGUUCGCCAUUUAAAGUGGUACGCGAGCUGGGUUUAGAACGUCGUGAGACAGUUCGGUCCCUAUCUGCCGUGGGCGCUGGAGAAUUGAGGGGGCUGCUCCUAGUACGAGAGGACCGGAGUGGACGCAUCACUGGUGUUCGGGUUGUCAUGCCAAUGGCACUGCCCGGUAGCUAAAUGCGGAAGAGAUAAGUGCUGAAAGCAUCUAAGCACGAAACUUGCCCCGAGAUGAGUUCUCCCUGAGACUUUAAGUCUCCUGAAGGAACGUUGAAGACUACGACGUUGAUAGGUCGGGUGUGUAAGCGCAGCGAUGCGUUGAGCUAACCGAUACUAAUGAACCGUGAGGCUUAACCUU
rnacentral:rRNA from 1 species